rnacentral:rRNA from 1 species
UACGAAGGGUGCAAGCGUUAAUCGGAAUUACUGGGCGUAAAGGGCGCGUAGGCGGUGUGUCAAGUCAGGCGUGAAAGCCCCGGGCUCAACCUGGGAACCGCGCUUGAGACUGGCACGCUCGAGUUCGGGAGAGGAUGGUGGAAUUCCCAGUGUAGAGGUGAAAUUCGUAGAUAUUGGGAAGAACACCGAUGGCGAAGGCAGCCAUCUGGACCGACACUGACGCUGAGGCGCGAAAGCGUGGGGAGCAAACAGG